UAAGGUAGCGAAAUUCCUUGUCGGGUAAGUUCCGACCCGCACGAAAGGCGUAACGAUUUGGGCACUGUCUCAACGAGAGACUCGGUGAAAUCAUAGUACCUGUGAAGAUGCAGGUUACCCGCGACAGGACGGAAAGACCCCGUGGAGCUUUACUGUAGCCUGAUAUUGAAAUUCGGCACAGCUUGUACAGGAUAGGUAGGAGCCUUUGAAACGUGAGCGCUAGCUUACGUGGAGGCGUUGGUGGGAUACUACCCUAGCUGUGUUGGCUUUCUAACCCGCACCACUUAUCGUGGUGGGAGACAGUGUCAGGCGGGCAGUUUGACUGGGGCGGUCGCCUCCUAAAAGGUAACGGAGGCGCUCAAAGGUUCCCUCAGAAUGGUUGGAAAUCAUUCAUAGAGUGUAAAGGCAUAAGGGAGCUUGACUGCGAGACCUACAAGUCGAGCAGGGUCGAAAGACGGACUUAGUGAUCCGGUGGUUCCGCAUGGAAGGGCCAUCGCUCAACGGAUAAAAGCUACCCCGGGGAUAACAGGCUUAUCUCCCCCAAGAGUUCACAUCGACGGGGAGGUUUGGCACCUC
rnacentral:rRNA from 1 species